rnacentral:rRNA from 1 species
UGGCUCAGGACGAACGCUGGCGGCGUGCCUAAUACAUGCAAGUCGAACGCUUCUUUUUCCACCGGAGCUUGCUCCACCGGAAAAAGAGGAGUGGCGAACGGGUGAGUAACACGUGGGUAACCUGCCCAUCAGAAGGGGAUAACACUUGGAAACAGGUGCUAAUACCGUAUAACAAUCGAAACCGCAUGGUUUUGAUUUGAAAGGCGCUUUCGGGUGUCGCUGAUGGAUGGACCCGCGGUGCAUUAGCUAGUUGGUGAGGUAACGGCUCACCAAGGCCACGAUGCAUAGCCGACCUGAGAGGGUGAUCGGCCACAUUGGGACUGAGACACGGCCCAAACUCCUACGGGAGGCAGCAGUAGGGAAUCUUCGGCAAUGGACGAAAGUCUGACCGAGCAACGCCGCGUGAGUGAAGAAGGUUUUCGGAUCGUAAAACUCUGUUGUUAGAGAAGAACAAGGAUGAGAGUAACUGUUCAUCCCUUGACGGUAUCUAACCAGAAAGCCACGGCUAACUACGUGCCAGCAGCCGCGGUAAUACGUAGGUGGCAAGCGUUGUCCGGAUUUAUUGGGCGUAAAGCGAGCGCAGGCGGUUUCUUAAGUCUGAUGUGAAAGCCCCCGGCUCAACCGGGGAGGGUCAUUGGAAACUGGGAGACUUGAGUGCAGAAGAGGAGAGUGGAAUUCCAUGUGUAGCGGUGAAAUGCGUAGAUAUAUGGAGGAACACCAGUGGCGAAGGCGGCUCUCUGGUCUGUAACUGACGCUGAGGCUCGAAAGCGUGGGGAGCAAACAGGAUUAGAUACCCUGGUAGUCCACGCCGUAAACGAUGAGUGCUAAGUGUUGAAGGGUUUCCGCCCUUCAGUGCUGCAGCUAACGCAUUAAGCACUCCGCCUGGGGAGUACGACCGCAAGGUUGAAACUCAAAGGAAUUGACGGGGGCCCGCACAAGCGGUGGAGCAUGUGGUUUAAUUCGAAGCAACGCGAAGAACCUUACCAGGUCUUGACAUCCUUUGACCACUCUAGAGAUAGAGCUUCCCCUUCGGGGGCAAAGUGACAGGUGGUGCAUGGUUGUCGUCAGCUCGUGUCGUGAGAUGUUGGGUUAAGUCCCGCAACGAGCGCAACCCUUAUUGUUAGUUGCCAUCAUUCAGUUGGGCACUCUAGCAAGACUGCCGGUGACAAACCGGAGGAAGGUGGGGAUGACGUCAAAUCAUCAUGCCCCUUAUGACCUGGGCUACACACGUGCUACAAUGGGAAGUACAACGAGUCGCGAAGUCGCGAGGCUAAGCUAAUCUCUUAAAGCUUCUCUCAGUUCGGAUUGCAGGCUGCAACUCGCCUGCAUGAAGCCGGAAUCGCUAGUAAUCGCGGAUCAGCACGCCGCGGUGAAUACGUUCCCGGGCCUUGUACACACCGCCCGUCACACCACGAGAGUUUGUAACUCCCGAAGUCGGUGAGGUAACCUUUUGGAGCCUGCCGCCUAAGGUGGGAUAGAUGAUUGGGGUGAAGUCGUAACAAGGU